ensembl:lncRNA LINC00963 long intergenic non-protein coding RNA 963
UGGCAGGAGCCGUCCUCACUCCCUCUAUUGCCUCUCCAGACCCAGACUUCACCCUCAGGUCACCCUCACCUGGACUUUGGGGUGCCCCACACCCCGCCCCAGGCCCUGGCCUCUGGAAUAUUUGGAAACUUGAACUGGGCCAGAGGCUUAAGCUCACAUCUGUCUGGAGCCUCAACUUUCUCCUCUGUAAAAUGGGCUAACACUGAAAGAACCUUGCAGAAUCUCAGCAACGUCACAGAGGACAUUGUUAGCACAGCCAGCGGGCUCCUGCUGGGCUGAGUUUGUGGGUAAUCCAAGCCUCGGCAGGUACAGUUCCUCCCUCAGGGCCCAGGACACAGUGAGCAUACAAUAGACAUUAGCUGCUGUGGUGUCUUGAUUUCAAGCCCAGUGCAGAUGCAUCUGACUUACGAAACUUCAGUGACACCUGCUCUGUGCCAGACACUGAAGAUGGAGCAGUGAACAGCACUGACCCAGCCUGUCCUCCUGUUGCCUGCAGGCCAGAAGCAAGGUCUCGCUGUGUUACCCUGGCUGGAGUGCAGUGGCUACUUACAGGCAUGAUCAUAGCAUACUGCAGCCUCGAACUCCUGGACUAGAGCAGUUCUCCUGCCUCAGCCUCCAGAGCAGCUGGGACUGCAGACACGCACCACAGAGCCCAGCCUGAGUCAUUUUGAUUCUGUAACUGGCUUCCUCUCGGCGGGCAGGCUCACACCCUCCACCCCCAGCUGGAGAUGGAAGGAGGAUGCUCACCGCCCAUUCCUCAUGCAGGCCAUCGAUGGAAAUGUCAGACAGUGCGAGUCCACGCCUGAACACUUCUGGGGUCCGCUCUGGGACUGACACUGGCAGAUCCAUCGAUGCCGUUCCAUUGUUUGCUGACUUUCAUUGAUUCUAUGAGAAGUCUGCAGUCUUUUGCAGCGUUGUUUUCCUAUGUAUAAUUGUCUCCUCCCACCCCACUCACCCCAGCUGCUUUCCACAUUCUCUCUCUUUGAUUUUCAGCAGUCUGCCCAUGAUGUGCCUAAAUAGGACUUUCUUUGCAUUCAUCUUGGCUGGGGCUCACUGAACUUUCUGAAUCUGUAGAUUAAUUUUCUUUUUUCAAUAAACCUUGGAAUAUUUUCAGCAUAA